rnacentral:tRNA from 1 species
GCGGAAGUGGUGGAAUGGCAGACACGCAGCGUUCAGGUCGCUGUGGGGGCAACUCCGUGAGGGUUCAACUCCCUCCUUCCGCACCA